UAGGGCAUUUAUUUUAUUGUGAUGACUUUUGGCCAUCGAACACAAAGCAACAAGUCCGAAAAGAAAAUGUAGUCUUACACCAACGAAAAUGAUGACAAAUAUAUGUCAUCGGAAGAAUAGGCUGAAAAUACGUAUUUCUAUUUUGAUUCUAACUGUGAUUGCACUGACAAGCAUUUUCAAGGAGGUUUCAUUGUCAAUUUUACAUGUUGAAAAGAACUUCAGCGAUAAAAAAGAUGGCGGAUUAAAUAACUUCACCAACUUUCCAAAAAUCCCAAUAAAACAUCAAUUAGGAUUAGAAAUGUCUAACAAUUUAACAACAGAUCGAACAAAAUUCGUUGUUGUUUUAAGGCGGGCGAGUCAAACGAAGGCGCCUUCAGAUUUGAAAUUAGAUGGAAAUCGUGUUACAGAAUUGAAAGAUAUUUUUAUCAGCAUUAAAACAGCCUCUCAAAACCAUGUCAGCCGUCUGCAACUUUUAAUAAAUACAUGGGUACAGCAAGCUAAGAACCAGACAUACAUUUUCACAGACCAGCGAGAUGAAGCAUUAGAAAAUGUAAUGGCAGGUCACAUUGUAAAUACCAACUGUUCAAGGGACCAUAAUAGGCGCUCACUUGUGUGUAAGAUGGGUCAUGAGUUUGACAUGUACAUCGUGUCGGAGCUUCGCUGGUGGUGUCACGUGGACGAUGACACGUACUUAAAUGUGAAAGAGCUUGUUAGACUGCUGGCCGGGUACCGGCACACGGAGGACUGGUACCUGGGGAAACCCAGUCUGGACCACCCCAUAGAGGUGAUCAACCAUGUGAACCCUGGGCCUCUUGGUAUAGGUAAUGAAAUUGUGCUUUUGUUGGUAACUUGUUUAAUGUGUAAAGUUUUGGUUUCAAUUUUGAGUUUGCGGUGUUUGUAAAGCCAUUAUGUUGCUGUUUGAUUAUUUUGAGCCCUUGCUUUUUUAUUCUCCCUAAAAGAUGGUGGGGCAUAUUUUAGUCUUGCAUUGUCCAUCCGUCUGAGUUCUAAUCUUAAUGUAAUUGAGUCAAUAGGUAUUUCAUAAAGUAAUUGACUCAUUUUUCGUUCCCAAGCUUUGCACGAACGCAUACUUUUAGAAAGGGAUGAUCAGGGAGCACCUAAGUUUCAGUGAUUUUCUUUUGCUGUGUUACCAAGGUUAGUUCAAAUAUUGUUUUUUAUUGAAGUUAAUUUAUUGGAAACUUUAAAGCACUUAUUUUUGUUUGAAUUUGUCCAAAUUACAUGCAAGACCAAAGUACAUGAGAAAUAAAGGUGUCUCAUGUUAAAGCAAAAAAUAGAUAAAGUAAAUACGUCUUUAGUCACAAUGCAAUUUUGUUCUUAUUGAAACAUGUUUCCUGUAACUUAUUGGACAUUUCAAUGGUUUUCUUUUGUUUUUAUUUUAUUUAUAUAAAAAGCCUGAAAACUUGUAAUUAAUGAUGUGUACAUAAAUACGGUUGUAUGUUUUAAUUUGUACAUUGUGUCAUGUUUGUUGUUUUAGUUUCAGUUGUGUUUACAUAGAUGUGUUAAAAGGCCCAAUUUACUUUGAGAUAUUAACAGCAAACAUAUUAACAGCAACUACAAAAUAAAUUACUUCCUUGAACAAUUAUUUUGCUCACCAUUAUGUUUGUAUUAGUAUUAAUUUCAUUUGAAGAUAAUGGAAUAAAUUAAAUAUAGAACUGUAGUAUAACUUCUUUGACUAAAGCAAUAAUUAAUAAUAAUCCUAUGGUUACCAAAUGAGAUUCUUCAUGUAAAAAUGAGUCUUAUGCAAUAUAAGGCCAGCAUAGCUCCAGACUAGCAUGCACAUAUGCGCGGGCUGGUUUGGAAGUACUCUGUCUGCUAAUAGAACCAUGGACUUUAUGGCGGACUCAGUAGCUCCUUACCAGACUGAUCCAAUGUGCAUGCAGGUCUGGAGCUACGCUGGCAUGGUAUGAUAUAAGACACAUUUUUGCAAGAUGCAACAUAUCUCAGUCACAAUAAAAUUGUUUGUAUAUCAAUAAUAAAUUACCACAAUAAAUUGAAGCAUUGAUAGCUGGAUAAUAGACCCUUUCAGUUAUUGCCGGUAUUUAAUUAUCUCCCUUGUGUGACGUCAUAUCUCCCUUGUGUGACGUCAUGCGAUGAUAAUCAAGUGUAUCGAUUGUAAACGAGAACAGAAAUCUUGUUAGAAAAUGUUUUUUUCAACGAUGUAAGUGGACUAAAAAUAUGCACACAAAGAUUUGUACUUACCAAAUUGUUAAUAAUGUAUUUUCUAAUAAAUUUUUUAUAUUCGGUUUAUACUGCUGAUACAGCAGUGGUAUUGUUCAUCAGAGAAUGUGAUCGGAAGACUAAAUACUGAAAAUCCCACAAAACAAAACAACUAACCCAAGCUUGCAUUCUGGUUUGCAACUGGAGGAGCAGGGUUCUGUGUGAGUCGAGCCUUGGCACUGAAGAUGGUUCCAUAUGCAGGUGGCGGAAGGCUGACGAAAGCCGGAGACCAGAUCAGGCUACCAGACG